rnacentral:lncRNA from 1 species
AAGAAGAAGAUGACGAGGAAGAAGAAAGCGUCGGCUGCGUCGCAGAGCGGCUGCCAGCGACGCCGCGCUCUUUAUACUACUGCUUUGCCUUCACUCCGCCUCCUAUGGCCUCCCUCUCUCCUCCAGCGGAUGCAUGAAGUUGACGUGUUUAACACAAGUUUCGACACUAAUCAAUCCCUGCAACCUCCCGUUUCAUCUGUUCCAUCUUCCCUUUAUCUCUUCUUUAUAUCCUCUCUCUUUUUUUUUGAUAUUUUUUUAGAACUGCUCUUUGCUGUCCGGGUUAAUCACACACUAUUUGUUUACCAGUAAGAGCAAGGCUAAUAAUAUAACCAACAAGCUGGCUAUAUA